CCUGAUAAUUAAGUUUUUUUCUAAUUUUUUCUUUUUCAUUGAUUUUUUCUAUAUUUUUUCCAUUUUUUCUCUAUUUUUCCAUCUAUAGGAGUCCCUAAUUGGGUGGGAGGCUUAGAGCUAGUGGCCAAAAGGAAAGCUUAGGUGAUGGCUGGGGUUUUGUGUUGAGUAUUUCCUUUUUUUUUUCUGUUCCCAGGAGUCUC
rnacentral:lncRNA from 1 species